rnacentral:piRNA from 1 species
CAGUUUUGCAAGGAGGUUAGAAACCAAG